rnacentral:rRNA from 1 species
UUAACAGAGAGUUUGAUCCUGGCUCAGGAUGAACGCUGGCGGUGUGUCUAAGGCAUGCAAGUCGAACGAUCUCUUCGGAGAGAGUGGCAAACGGGAGAGUAACACAUUGGUAACCUACCCCAUACUCGGGCAUAAUCUUGCGAAAGCGGGACUAAUUCCCGAUGGACUCCAACUUCAUAAGUGUGUUGGAGUAAAGCUCCGGCGGUAUGGGAGGGGCCUAUGGCUUAUCAGCUUGUUGGUGAGGUAAAAGCUCACCAAGGCAACGACGAGUAGCGGGCGUGAGAGCGUGGCCCGUCUCACGGGGACUGAGAUACUGCCCUGACUCCUACGGGAGGCUGCAGUCAAGAAUCUUCCACAAUGGCCGAAAGGCUGAUGGAGCGACACCGCGUGCAGGAAGACGCCCUUCGGGGUGUAAACUGCUUUUAAGAGGGACGAACUAAUGACGGUACCUUUUGAAUAAGGGGUUGCUAACCUCGUGCCAGCAGCAGCGGUAAUACGAGGGCCCCAAGCGUUAUCCGGAUUUACUGGGCGUAAAGCGUCCGCAGGCGGUUUGGUAAGUUUUUAGUGAAAUACCGAGGCUCAACCUCGGGCCCGCUAAAGAUACUGCCAAACUAGAGACUGGAAGAGGUAAGCGGAACUGCCGGUGUAGCGGUAAAAUGUGUUAAUAUCGGCAGGAACACCAAAGGCGAAGGCAGCUUACUGGUACAGUUCUGACGCUAAUGGACGAAAGCGUGGGGAGCGAAAGGGAUUAGAUACCCCUGUAGUCCACGCCGUAAACGUUGAGUGCUAGAUAUUCGGAGUAUCGACCCUCUGAGUGUCGUUUAAAAAAGCUAACGCGUUAAGCACUCCGCCUGGGGAGUACGGCCGCAAGGCUAAAACUCAAAGGAAUAGACGGGGACCUGCACAAGCGGUGGAGCAUGCGGUUUAAUUCGAUGGUAAGCGAGGAACCUCACCAAGGUUUGACAUCUAGCUGCACGCCCUAAGAAAUUAGGGCUCCUUCGAGGGUGCUAGACAGGUGCUGCAUGGUUGCCGUCAGCUCGUGGCGUGAUCCAAUAAAAUCUCGCGCCCUUUACCAGUAAUGGUAAAGCAAAAUCUGGCUCAUAACGGUGAAGCUCUGAUAUAAUUAGAGUAAUACCGUGGGAAGUUAAAUUUUAUAUGCUUACACUUACAGCUAGAAAAAAUUUGAUUCUAAAAGUUACUAAACAACAAUCGGAUAUUUUGAUUGGAUGUAUUUUGGGCGAUGCCUACAUAACAAAAUCGGGAAAGAUACAAAUCGAACAAAGCGAUAAACAAAUCGAUUAUGUAAAUUGGAAAUACAAUCAACUUGAAAAAAUAUGUUAUGGCUUACCUAAAAAAGUAAUUAGAUACGACAAAAGAUAUAACAAAAAUUAUAUCUCGUAUCGAUUCUGGACUAGACAAUUUUUUCGCAACUGGAGAAAAAGAUUCUAUUUGGAAAAUAAAAAAAUAUUUCCUUUAGAAAGUAUCUCCCCAUUAACAUUAGCUGUAUGGUAUAUGGAUGAUGGAUGCUUGAAUGAAAAUAAAAGGAUUAUUCUAUCUACCGACAAUUUUAACGAGGAGGAUAGAACAAAAAUUAAAAAUCUUUUUAAAAAAGAUUUUGAUAUAGAUGUAUCCUAUAAAAAUAAAGGAAAAAUGAUUAUAGGAACAAAUGAAAGCAAAAAAUUCUUUAAAAUCAUUAAUCCAUAUACAAUCCCAUCAAUGAAAUAUAAAAUUUUAACCCCGUAACGACUGAACUCAUUAUGAGUGAGAUAGAAGAUACCUGAUAAUCAGGAAUCUAAACUUCUAUCAUACGCCAGCCCCUCAAUGUAUUGAGGGUGAAGGUAUAGUCUGACUUAAAUUUAUAAAUUUAAGCGGAGCUGUUCCCUUAAUUGGGGUAACGAGCGCAACCCCCAUCUUGUGUUGAAUUGUUCACAAGAAACUGCCCCGGGAUACGGGGAGGAAGGUGGGGACGACGUCAAAUCAGCAUGGCCCUUACACCUUGGGCUACACGCAUGCUACAAUGGCCGGUACAAUGGGCUGCCAAGUCGCAAGACGGAGCUAAUCCCAUCAAAACCGGCCUCAGUUCGGAUUGAGGUCUGCAACUCGACCUCAUGAAGUUGGAAUCGCUAGUAAACGCAAAUCAGCCUCGUUGCGUUGAAUACGUUCUCAGGUCUUGUACUCACAAAAUCUGCGCCGGGCAGGUUAUUUUACCAAGUGGUUAAAAUCCACUCCUCC